AGGGACCUCAGGCAGUCCAACUUGCUCAGAGUGCAGGGAGUUGCAGAGGGGUUGGGGAAAUGGACUGACCAUGAAGAAAAUUGCUUAGGAAUUUGGAUUUUUAUCCUUUAAAUCAGUGAACUUCAAAGUAAAGUGCAUGCCCUCCUAAAAGUUAACAAAAUGAUUCACUGGUUUACUGAAAGUAAGAUUAGAACUUCUGUGAGUACUUCAACACAUUUUUACCUUUUUAAUGUUUACAUUUUGCCUGUUUUAAGAUGAACACACUGAUUUUGCAUAGCAGUACAUUUAUGCAAUUUAUAAAUAAAUAUGCAUAUUUUGGGGUGAAUUCUAAAAACUUUUAUGCAGAUAAGAGUGUGUGAACAAAAAUGUAGAAAGCCACUGAGGAGUUCCAAGUGGGAAAAUGAUGUGAACAGUUUUGGGCUCAUGGUGAAUCUGUCUGAGAGUAGGGAGGAGCACAGACAGAAUGUGGCAGAAAACAAAGGCAAGGCCAGCCAGGAAGUGGCUGCUAUAGGCCAAGCAGUGUUUCCAAAUUCCCAAUAGAUUAGUCUUUGGGAUUUGUGAACAAAACUGUGGAACUCCCUGGAAUUGUCAUGAAUUCCUCAAAUCACAAGCUAUUCUGUCAUUUUCAAAACAUUUUAUUUACCUGUUUUUGAAUAAUAAUGAGUAAGCAUAAUAAUAUAGGUAAAUUAUUUUUUCUGGGAUGGGUUAUACACUAAAUAUUUUAAUUUUCUGCUAAAAACAGAUAUAAUAAUAAACAGCUUUAAAAAUUGGACCAAUAUAUUGUGACAAGAUUAUAUAUUUCAAUAACAUGUAAAAAUGUUCUCUAUCUGAUAAUAAAACAUUAUAAGCUGAGAAUAUUAACAUGCAACAAAUCGCUGUUAAAAUCACUUAAAAUUUUUAAAAUACUGGCUGGGCACAGUGGCUCAUAAUCCCAGUACUUUGGGAGGCUGAGGCGGCUGGAUUACCUGAGGUCAGGAGUUUGAAACCACCCUGGCAAACACGGUGAAACCCGUCUCUACUAAAAAAAUACAAAAAUUAGCCAGGCAUGGUGGCACACACCUGUAAUCCCAGCUACUCAGGAGGCUGAGGCAGGAGAAUCGCUUGAACCUGGGAGGUGGAGAUUGCAGUGAGCCGAGAUCAUGCCACUGCACUCCAACCUGAGCAACAGAGUAAGACUCCGUAUCCCCACCAAAAAAAAAUUUUUAAAUACCAUAUUUAAUAUUUAAAAGUUAUUAAUUCUUAAAAUGGAAAUGUUAAAUAUACCAAACACCAAUUGUCCUACUUAAUAGCCUCAGUUUUUUUUUUCAUGACAAACAUUCCAAAUGUAGAAAAAAUUUCUUUCAUUUCACAUUGACAUUGGUUAAUUAAGACUGCACCAAACAGCAUCUUGAAGUUGGAUAUUAGGGCAGUUGCUGCUUCAUUUAAGUUUAAUCUUUUUUAAUCCAACGAAAGGAUUUUUUUCAUUGCAAUGAAAAUAUUUUGUUUACUUGCCCUGAUUUUGGUUUUGUUAUUGAAAUUUAUAAUUUAUAUUGCUUUGCUAAUUCAGAUUUUUUAUCCAUUUCUAAUUUCCCAAUGAAGCAUUCCAAAACAAUAUUCAUAGCUUCUUUUCUUCGCAUUUCUUCUGUUAAAGUAUUUAUAAACAACUAUAGCUUACAGCAAAUGUUCAAACACUGGAAAACAUCAGGAAAUACAAGUGAGUAGUAUUCAAAUAACCUAACAUUUGGAUCUCCUAGCAAGGUUAACACUACUAGACAGAAUCAAGUUUCAAAAUUGCCAAUUUAAAGACUUAUUCUACAUUCAUAAUGUAUUAUUUCUUGGAAUCCCCCUCAUAAGGUUUAUGUAAAGUGAACCAUAGGUAUACAUUUCUUAAUAUUUAUUAUGAUUUGCAAGAAUCCUUGCUUGCAGCAGAUAGGACCAUAGUACACUCUUGGAACACAGCAACUGCUACGAGCCAGACUGUUGGAUUAGAUGAGGAUGACGUCCCUCCUCCACACUCCCAUUCCCAUUUCCCAAAAUGUUGACCUUAACCUUUGACUCUCUUGUAGGGGUUUCCUGCUCUUAAUGUCAAUGGAUUCCCUUGAAACAGUAAUGAUCUCUUUGUUGAUUAUUAAGCUUCAAUCAUCACAGAAUUAUAAUACUUUUUUCCAUUGUCUCAAUUUCUUCACUGAUUUUUCUCAAGAUUUGCAAAAACCAAUUUUGCAGUCAAUCCUGAGAAAGAAUUACUUCAUGGGUACACUAAAUCCAAGUGUAAAGUCACAAAGAACUAAGCUAGAGCAGCAGUAGUGGGUUACAGAGGAGGGGUGGAUUGGGGUGUUCUUCUGAAAGUAGAGACAAGAGCCUGUAGUAUCUCCUAAGGGAUGUGAAGAGUGAGAGACAGAGGAGAUUGUUCUAGAAUGACUAAAAAAAAAAAAGAUUUCUGGCUGGGUGUGGUGGCUCACACCUGUAAUCCAGCACUUUGGGAGGCCGAGACGGGUGGAUCACUUGAGGCCAGGAGUUUGAGACCAGCCUGGCCAACAUGGCAAAACCCUGUCUCUUUUAAAAAUACAAAAAUUAGUUGGGAGUGGUGGUGUAUGCCUGUAAUCCCAGCUACUUGGGAGGCUGAGGCAUAAGAAUCACUUUAGCCUGGGAGACGGAGGUUGCAGUAAGCCAAGACAGUGGCACUGCACUCCAGCCUGGGUGACAGGGCGAGACUCUGUCUCUAAAUAAAUAAAUAAAUAAACAAUUUCUGUACAGACAGGCCUGUCUAUCGUAGGCAGUGCUAAAGGGAAAUGUGAUUAAUUCAUGUUCAGGUUUUCUAUUGGCUAGGUAACCAACCAUCCAAAAACUUAGUGUCUUUCAUUAGGAAAAUGCAAAUCAAAACCACAGUGAAAUACCAAAUGAUACCCAUUAGGAUUGCUAUUUAUAAAACAAAACAAAAAACAACCAAAAACACCCUCAGACAAUAACAAGUGUUGGCAAGGAUGUGGAGCAAUUGGAACACUUAUGCAUUGCUGUGAGAAUGUAAAAUGGUGCAGGCAAUUCCUCAAAAAUUUCAAAGUAGAAUUACUAUAGGAUGCAGUAAUUCUGCUCUGGGAUAUACCCAAAAGAAUCUAAAGCAGAGUCUUGAACAGAUAUUUAUACACUAAUGUUCACAGCAGCAUUAUUUAUAACAGCCUAAAGAUGGAAGCAACCAUCAAUAAAUGAAUGGUAAGCCAGUCACAAAAGGACAAAUAUUGUAUGAUUCCACGUACAUGAGAUACCUGGAGUAAUCAAAUUCACAGAAAGUAGAAUGGUGGUUGCCAGGGACUGGAGAGAGGAGGGAAUGGGGAGUUAGUGUUUAAUGAGUACAGUUUCUCAAUUUAGGAUGAGGAAAGGGGUCGAGAUGGAUGGUGGUGAUAAUUGCACAACAGUGCAAAUGAACUCAAGGCGACAGAAUUGUACACUUAAAAAAUAGUUUUGCCCACGAUGAUCCUGAGUGAUGAGCAGGAAUUUAACGAUGCUGCUUCUGUUCCCAGUAUAGAGUCUUCCCAGAGUGACAGCAGGAAUGCCAAGCAUGGGUCUUGUCCAGGUCUGUCCUGCUCUGGCUAUGCAAGGUGGGCGAGCCACUUCCCCACUCUGGCCUUAGUUUCCUCUUCUGGUGAACAAAGGGAGAAGAGUGGAGGGUUCCCCAGGUUCCCUCAGCACUCAUUUUUUCUGCUUUUCCAUGGGACAGGCUACUAUGAGGCUCCUGACUCACCUGGAUUUGAACCCCAGACCUGCCGGCUCCCUGCUGGUGAUUUUGGGAGUCACUCUCAUGUGUGGUGGUUGAUGCUGGCUGUCUGCUAGGGUCUUUGCUGGGGCUGUCAUCUGCUCCACCUAUGCAGAGCCUCCUUGGAUGCAGGACCUGGGCUGUCUUAGAGCUUGAGCAUCCUGGUAGAACAAGAUGGAAGUGCAUGAUGCUUUUAUGACCUAGCCUUGGUCACCUCUGCCAUGUUCCAGUGGUCAAGGCAGUUAUAUUGUAAGAAAAACAUGUGGGAUAUAUUCUAGUAGGCCAUUUACAAGUCAUUCUUUUCUCUUCUAUUUUCUUUAUCCAUGAAGGGCUUGAAGAAGUCAGAGAGAAUCUGAGUCUUUCCCAGAUCAUAAGUUAUCACAAGUGUAACACUGGAGACCAUUCCUAUUUUGUAUGUAUUUCAGUGUGCCUGUUUUAUUUAAACAGCUGCUGCUGGUGGUAACACGUACAUAAGACUGAAACACAGCAAAAGGACAAAGCAGCUUAGAAUUUCCACAGUUGGAACAGACAGAAGACAUUUGACACAUCCACAUCGUUCCAUAUGCUGAGACCCAAGACCUGCUGUCAGUAAUCUCAAAAUCAUUGCAAAAUGCUCUCUCAUCCUACACCCAUAUCUGUGUUACCAUCCAAAGGAG
rnacentral:lncRNA from 10 species